rnacentral:misc_RNA from 1 species
AAUCCUCACCACAUCAACCUUGGUGUUGAGAUGGUGGAUCUGAACUUGCAAUUGAUAUUCUUGAUUGCUGGUUUAAAAUGAAUUUCAUGAAGCUCAAAUGGUUUGAGUUUAAGGCUUAAUAGUUUUGGUUUCGACCAAAUCUUUAGCUUUUGAUCAAGCCAAAAGUGAAUUGAUUUUUACGAAAUCUUUCAUU